rnacentral:lncRNA from 1 species
CUAAGACUUGCCACUUUGGCAGAACUCUCUGGAAAGCGGUGUCUUCCUUUCACCAGAGAUGUAAAACAGUGUCCGGAAUGGUACCCAGGAUGGUGGUACACUGGAGCACACACACCUAAGUAAGGGGACAGCUGUUCCUCAGCUCUGGUCACUGUUAGUGUAUAAGAAUGUGGAACCCUUGCCUGGGCAUGGUGGCUCACGCCUGUAAUCCCAGCACUUUGGGAGGGUGAGGCGGGCAAAUCACCUGAGGUCAGGAGUUCGAGACCAGUCUGGCCAACAUGGUGAAACCCCAUCUCUACUAAAAAUACAAAAAUUAGUGGGGCGUACUGGUUGGCGCCUGUAAUCUCAACUACUCGGGAGGCAGAGGCUGGAGAAUCGCUUGAACCCUGGAGGCAGAGGUUGCAGUGAGCCGAGAUCGCACCACUGCACUCUGGCCUGGGUGACAAGAGUGAGACAACGUCUCAAAAUAAAUAAAUAAAUAAAAAUGUCAGCUAGUAAUUCACAUCUUUUAAAAGCAAUGUACAAGUCAACGGGGUGGAGGGCAACAGAACAUGUCUGCAGCAAGCCAGUCUGUGAACUCAGAGAAGCUAUGAAAUUGAACUUCACGGAAGAUGUGAUUAAAGGCGAGAGGCUGGUGUGUUUCAACAGUGAAGGUCAGAUGAAAAGUACAUAUGCGGACAUGCAUUUCCUCUUGCUCCAUUUCAGGUUGCGCUUGCAAACAGUGUGAGGUGGCUGAGUAUAUUUAGCCACGUGCCUUUUUUUUUUUUCCCUGUUCAGAUUGCAUCUCUUAAGACUUCUGCCUUUGCUGAAAACUGGCAUUGCCAUUUUACUCUUACACUUUGCAGGAAAAUAACUCCAAGAGGAAAUUGACUGUGAAGCCUUAUGGAGUGCCCCCUCAAGAUGGGGAAAAAAAAGAAAAGAGAGAAAUAUAAUCAAGCACUCAGAGUGGAGAAAAUUAAGUGCUGGCGGAGCAGCAGCCAUGCCUAUGCGGAGUAUGUGCACAAAAGGAUGCUAAUGGGACUUAAUGCUGCUGUCCCGUGUUGUAGGGAGCUUGAGAGCUCACAAAGGAAGGGCUAUAUGUUAAUUUAACGAGAGGUGCCCAAUGCUUGACCAAAGGCAAACUACCAUGGCCUCUUGCUUGAAGGGCACAUACAUAUCUGGGGCUGGGACUGUAACAUAUUAUGCUUGGCUAAAAACCAGCCUCCCAAUUAAGAGAAAUUGAUGGCUGUUUUGCACAGACUGAUCCUGAGCAGGGGGCUGUUUAGUUCAAAAGCAAAUUGUCUGUGUUGUUUGGGAUUUGAGUUUUAAAGGUAAUAAAGUCCACAAUUUUGCCUACUGUUUAACCCCACUUUAAUGGACUGGGCAGAGAAACAAAGUCAUUGGAUCAUUCCAUAGAAAACGACUUUUAUAUUCUGUUUUAGGGAAACAAAAAUUUCCAACAUACUCGGGUAUUUUACAACCAAGAUGUGAAACAAAGUGAUCCUUGCUCUUUAUCUGUCUUUCCUUUAUCAGCAAAUAAGGAAGUACAAGCAUGAAAGCAAAAUCGGAGGAACAUUUCCUGGACAGCAUUCCCAUCUCCAGUAAGAGUCCUUCUCACUUCAUAAAAGCGAUACGUAGAAGCAAGACUCUGCCUUUGCGGUGACGUCACUGAAUAUGCAGCCGGGGCCCAGAGUUGAACAAAUGCCACUCUGGCAAGCGGGGCAGGGUCUGGCUUAGCAACUUGACUUUGACCUACCACCUCUGGAUAAUUUUGCUUCUACAUAACUAUGGAGAUGAUGUACUCAUUCUAUUUAUAAAAAUAAUGCCCUUGGAGUAAACCCCAACCAUCCACUCCUACCUCCACCCUGGCCCAGGCCUGUUCUGCCCCAGUGCACCUAAUCUUCCUUCAUUCUUUAUCCCCCUUGUUCACACUGUGCCUGCAUCCUGCUCCUUGAACAAGCCUGGCCUCAUGCCGUUGCACGCUUGCUGCUUCCUCUAUCUGGAAUGCCUUUCUCAUUGCUCCUUGCCAAGCCACUCCUUUUUUUUUUUAGACACAGUUUCACUCUGUCGCCCAGGCUGGAAUGCAGUGGUGCAGUCUUGGCUCACUGCAACCUCUGCCUCCCGGGUUCAAGAGGUUCUCCUGUCUCAGCCUCCCAAGCAGCUGGGAUUAUAGGCGCACACCACCACGCCCAGCUAAUUUUUGUAUUACAAGUAAAGAUGGGGUUUCAACAUGGCCAGGCUGGUCUUGAACUCCUGAUCUCAGGUGAUCUGCCCACCUUGGCCUCCCAAAGUGCUAGGAUUACAGGCGUGAGCCACAGCGCCUGGCCCCAGGUCACUCCUAAUCCAUCAGGUUUCAACUGAAAUGUCAUGCUGGAAAGAGGCCUUCCUUCUCUCUCUAUCCUGGCUAACACUGCCUUCUCUCCCACACCAUCUUGCUAUCCCAUCUUUCUCUUCUGUUUUCUUCAGAGAACUUACUGAUACCUGAAAUGAUCUCAUCGUUUAUUUCUUCCUUUUUUCUUCAUUGUCUGUCUCCCCUUUGGAGCACAGGUUGCUUAAGAACAGGCACCUCACUGGGUGUGACCCAUGCCUGUAAUCCCAGCUACUCAGGAAGCUGGGGUGAGAGGAUGGCUUGAGCCCAGGAGUUCAAGGCUGCAGUGAGCUAUGAUUGUACCAAUGCACUCCAGCCUGGGUAACAGAGCACAAUUCCGUCUUUAAAAAAUAAUACAAAAAUAAAAAAGUAUAGGCACCUCUUCAGUUUUGUUCAUUUCUGAAUCUCUGGUGCCUGGGACAGAGCCUGAUGGUCAGUGAGAGGUGCUUAACAAAUGCUUGUGGAAGGAAGGACUGGGAUAUACUUUUGCAGUUCAAAGGACUUCAGGAAUGAAAUGGCAAUCUGAGGAUGGGGAGUAAAAUGUCCUGUUGUCAACCCUGUAAGCUGCUAAACC